AGAACCGUUUGGAUGUUAAAGUUUGAGAUGCAUUGUCAGUUCUUCCUUUCAGAUCCUUUCCAAAUUGAUGGUCUCAAGGCAAGAGCUAACAGUGAGGUAAUCUGCAUACAUAAAUUGUAUAGCAGACGGUAUCUGGUGCCACCUGAGUAAAAGGCUGGUUUUCUAGCACAGGAGAAACUAUCGACAAAAAAAACUGCCCAAAUGAGUGACUACAGGAAAUACUCUUCCUACUCAACUUACGAAUGAAAGCAUUAUACAACUUAAAAACUCCAAAAAAAACUAGAAGAAAGAAAAGGAGAGAAUGCUUAUAUGUGUGGUUUUAAAACAUGCCCAAUAAUACGUCAUUAUUUCUUGAACAAAGGAAGGAUGUCAUGAAGUAUGCAAAGAAUCAAGUUAUUGGAGAUCAAGCUAUUCCUACCACAUCUCAUCUAGUUCAGUCUACAUAGGAUACCAACUAUGCUACUGAGCUAAGCCACUUGAAACCUAGAAAUAGCCUGUACUCAUUAAUGUUGUAAAUAAAUGUUCUUAACACACCCUUUAAUCCAGAAACUCCUGAGCACUUUCUUCAAUAACCCACCGCCUCCAGUGGGAGAAAAAC